rnacentral:rRNA from 1 species
AUUAUUUAUGUUUAUGCAUUUUAUUUUAUCAUGUAAUGUUUAAGAACAAUAUCCUUUUUCUAAUGCCCUAAGCUCGUUAUCUAGCUUAAAGCCUUUUUUGUCUAGUUGCUGGAAUUGUAUUUCCAGCAACAUAAGUCCAUUUCCUUAGAUUCCGUUUGAAGUAGGUUUAGGAUUUGGAUCUGAAUUUUGGAUAUGAUAAACUAGAUAUGUAGAGGAAGCAGCAGAAAAAUGAAUGGCCCAAUUUGGAGCUGGGAAGGUUGAGUUAAGCCCAAAACAAUCUAACCCUUGUGCAGUUUUGUUGCCCAGAAAACUGGGCAAAACUGCCUCGGGUUUGAUUACUUUUGAAUGGGUAAAUGAAUUUUAUUUUAUCUUAUUUUUGGCUAGAACAUAGUUUAAUAUUCAAAAAGGCUUCCCUCCAAUUUUCAAGUCAAAUGGAGCUGGUUUUCAAAUUCAAAUGCCUUAGACAAGCUGAACUGCCCAUUAAAGAAGGUUUCUUGCAUGCCUAGCACAUUGAUUAGAGUUAGUUGAGGUAGUUUGGCUUGGUUGGUUACUUUUAAUGCUUUUGUAUUUAUUGCUCAAUAUGGCAGCAUGCCUUAUUGUCUUUUUGAUGUAUUUAAAAGUAUGAAAAUUGUAAUGAAAAACGUUGAGAAAGAAAAUAUUCAAAAAAACAGAUUUUGAAAAACAACAUUUUUGGCUCUCUCUCUCUCAACUACUACAUUUUGGUUUCUUCUUCUUCCCAAAAGCUAACAACCUUCUCAAGAACCCUAAACCUCCAUUAAAACCAGAAAACAACCUUAACAAACCCAAAAACAAAAUUAAGAACCAACAACCAACAACAAUCAUUCUUGACUAACACUUUGAAUGAUUGUGCUCUAGGGUACAACAACAUAAACCUACACCAAAUUCCAACACUAAGGCCCUUGAAAAUCUAGAGGACCGAGUGUCGCCCAUGCCUGGUCGUACUCAUAACCAUAUUAGGUCUCCAAGGUGAAGAGCCUCUGGCCAAUGGAACAAUGUGGGCAAGGAAAUUCUGCAAAAUGGAUCCACAAAAGGAUUGACUUUGAGGGCUGGGCACAGGGGUCCCAGUCCCAAACCCGUUGGGUGUCGGUGGAUUGCUCGAGCUGCUCCCACGGGAAGAACAGUUCGCCACGUGCCGACCGAGGGACGGACUAGGAAAAGGUCCCUUUGGGGGCCCAUCCCUAGGCGUCGAAUAGUUGACUCAUAAUUGGUAUGGACAAGGGGAAUCUAAUUGCUUAAUUAAAACAAAGCAUUGCAAUGGUCCCUGCAGAUGCUCAAAGUGAAGAAAUUCAACCAAGCGAUGGUAGGAGUAACGAUGACUCUCUUAAGGUAGCCAAAUGCCUCACCAUCUAAUUAGUGAGGUGCAUGAAUGGAUUAACGAGAUUCCCACAGUCCUAGGUAAAGAAGACCCUUUGGAGCUUGACUCUAGUCCGACUUGGUGAAAUGACUUAAGAGGUGUAGCUAGAAACUGCGAAAGUGAAAUACCACUACUUUUAACGUUAUUUUACUUAUUCCAUGAAUCGGAAGCGGGGCAUUGCCCCUCUUUUUGGACCCAAGGCCUGCCUCGGCUGGCUGAUUCGGUUGGAAGACAUUGCUAGGUGGGGAGUUUGGCUGAGGCGACACAUCUGUUAAAAGAUAACGCAGGUGUCCUAAGAUGAGCUCAACAAGAACAGAAAUCUUGUGUGGAACAAAAGGGUAAAAGCUCAUUUGAUUCUAAUUUCUAGUAUGAAUACGAACCGUGAAAGCAUGGCCUAUCAAUCUUUUAAACCUUCAGAAUUUGAAGCUAGAGUGUCAGAAAAGUUACCACAUGGAUAAUUGGUUUGUGGCAGCUAAGCGUUCAUAGCGAUGUUGCUUUUUGAUCCUUCAAUGUUGGCUCUUCCUAUCAUUGUGAAGCAGAAUUCACCAAGUGUUGGAUUGUUCACCCACCAAUAGGGAACAUGAGCUAGGUUUAGACCAUUGUGAGACAGGUUAAUUUUACCCUACUGAUGAUAGUGUUGCAAUCAUAUUUCAACCUAGUGAUAGGAAACCACUGUGUUCUAGAUUAUGAUUGAACGCUCUAAGUCAGAAUUCGGGCUAGAAGCGAUGCAUGCACUCGUCGCCCGUUUGUCGACCCGCAGUAGGGGCCUCGGCCCCAAAGGCAUGUGUCGUUGGCCAAGCCCGUGUGGUGGACGUACCGUGCGGGCUGCCUUGAAGUUUAAUUCCUAUUGAGCGGCGGGUAGAAUCCUUUGCAGAUGACUUAAAUACACAAUUGGGUAUUGUAAGUGGUAGAGUGGCCUUGCUGCCAUGAUCCACUGAGAUUCAAGCCUACAUUGCUUUGAUUCAC